GAUGAACGCUGGCGGCGUGCUUAACACAUGCAAGUCGAACGAGUGGCGAACGGGUGAGUAACACGUGGGUGAACUGCCCUGCACUUCGGGAUAAGCCUGGGGAACUGGGUCUAAUACCGGAUAGUGUGGGAUGAGCUCGCGGCCUAUCAGCUUGUUGGUGGGGGAUGGGCUGCCAAGGGGCGACGGGUAGCCGGCCUGAGAGGGUGUACGGCCACAUUGGGACUGAGAGAGGGCCCAGACUCCUACGGGAGGCAGUAGGGGGGAAUAUUGCACAAUGGGCGCAAGCCUGAUGCAGCGACGCCGGGUGGGGGAUGACGGCUUUGGGGGUGUAAACUCCUUUCGUCUGGGACGCGGUACCUGGAUAAGAAGCACCGGCUAACUACGUGCCAGCAGCCGCGGUAAUAC
rnacentral:rRNA from 1 species